CCUACGGGUGACAGCAGUGAGGAAUAUUGGGCAAUGGGCGCGAGCCUGAACCAGCCAAGUAGCGUGAAGGAUGACUGCCCUACGGGUUGUAAACUUCUUUUAUAAAGGAGUGAAGUGAGGCGCGUGUGCCUUUUUGUAUAUACUUUAUGAAUAAGGAUCGGCUAACUCCGUGCCAGCAGCCGCGGUAAUACGGAGGAUCCGAGCGUUAUACGGAUUUAUUGGGUGUAAAGGGAGCGUAGAUGGGUUGUUAAGUCAGUUGUGAAAGUUUGCGGCUCAACCGUAAAAUUGCAAUUGAUACUGGCAGUCUUGAGUACAGUUGAGGUAGGCGGAAUUCGUGGUGUAGCGGUGAAAUGCUUAGAUAUUACGAAGAACUCCGAUGGCGAAGGCAGCUUACUAAACUGCAACUGACAGUGAGGCUCGAAAGCGUGGGUAGCAAACAGGAUUAGAUACCCUGGUAGUC
rnacentral:rRNA from 1 species